rnacentral:lncRNA from 1 species
GAAUUUUUGAGUGCAGAAAGCUAAUGCAAGCAGGCUACUAAGCUUAAAUUAAGAAAAGUGAGAGGUGAAGGUAGAUUGAAUUAGAAUUACUUGAGCAGUUCUGUUAAUUUUUUACUCCUUCUAUUGUGGAGAAACUUGCUAGUUCUAAUGCCUUGCUCUGCAAAUCCCAGCAGUGUCAGUAGAAGGUAAUUCAUUUGCUCUGUAUUUCAGGUUGUAAAAGAGAAUGGAAGCCAGAUUACAACAAGUGAAUCCCAAGAAUAUUCAUGAAACCUGUCAAAUCUGUUUCACAGUGGAGAGUAUAAGAAACUAAAAACCACAGAAACUUCUGUAUUUAGAAGUUGACUGCUCCUGAGAAAACAUCUCUCUCAUGAAACAGCACCUAGACAGAAGAUGUCCUGAUCCUUCUCUUGAUCUCUUUUCACUGAAGUUAUCCGAGUGUCCCAGUGUGCAAUUCCAGCUUCUCUGGUAGCUGACCAAGUCUAAAAUAUCUAAAUAAAGACCUGUGGGAGAAUGGUAAGUGUCCUGUA